rnacentral:lncRNA from 1 species
UUUUUUUUUAGUAGAAGUCCUAUUUGCAAAACUACUAGUGAGCUUAACAUAACAGAUACACACUUUUGCAUUAGCACAUCGACCGGAUGGGGUUUUCGCAGGUAUCAAUCUGAUGGCACAUACCUUUGGGGACUGGGAAGACUUGAGUGGCCCGAACAGCAUGGGGUUUUUACUGCCAACAGCCACCAAAUCAGAAGAACGAACUGAAUCAGGAAUAAACUCAAUCGAAACGCAGAUUCCUCGAGCAUCAGAGCAUACUCACUCAUAGAUGGUCUUCUUAAACGUCCUGAACCCAGCCCUCAACCUCUCCGCGGAGCCCAACCCCUGCAGAGCACGCAGCAGCAGCCGUCAGCCGUCGCGCCACAAGGGGAAAGGGAAACAGCACAAUGCCGGCGCGCGACAAGAGAAUCGCAUCGCUCGGGGACUGGCCUCGCUGUAGGUGACCAUCUGGGCCGGGUGGUGGUGGCCGGCAGCGCUCGAUCCGCCCCCGAUGAGCGGCUCGCGGGCCGGGCUCAACGGGUUCUCCCGAGGCGGCUUGUGGGCGAGGAAGCAGCAGCAGCAUCCCCCCAUCGCCGAUCGCCCCCGCGAGCCGCUCGAGGAGGGAGAGAUCGGUGGAGAGGUGGGCGCCCGUAGCUCGUUGCCUCGGUCCUGACUCCUGAUUUUGCCCGCGGGCCGCAGGGGAAGGGGAAGAGGGUUUUGCAGUUUCGCUCGGGAUGAAACCGAACUUCGGCAGGCUUGGACUCUCGGGUGUUAUCCUGCUCGCCUCAAUUUGGAAAUCAUUAGCCCGAGAGGAUUGAUUUAGGUUCCGUUGGAUUUGAACUGCGAAAGCACAGAAUGGUGAAAGAGAUUCAGAGUUCAGCUCAGGAUCAUCGCGUGGGCCCCGCCGCUGCUUUAAAUCGGGGCAACGAGACGGCCAGAUUUUAGGUUGGCCGUUGUCUCGUGGCUCGUGGUUGGCUCGGGUUCACCGGUUCACCACCAUGUGAGGAGCUAAUGACAGUUGAGAAGGAUUUCCUUUAAAGUUCAAAACCGAUAAAGUAAAAAAAUUAAAUUCAUCCUAUUUCUAGUUUAUUUUAAUCUAACUUUACAAAACGAUUUCACACUUAGUAUCUCGAUUUGCGCAAAACAGAUGAAGUCGAAACUAAAAUAAACCUCCAAAAGAUAUCUUCCCUUUUCCAUUAUUAUUUCUCAGGUUUGGAUAGACCCUGUAAACUAUAAUCAAUACUCUUUCCGCUUCAAAUUAUAGAUCGUUUUGGUUUUUCUAGAUAUAUAAUUUUCCUUAUGUAUCUGAACAUAGCAUAUAUCUAGAUGCACAUAAAUAUCAAAUAUCAUAUAUCUAGAAAAGUCAAAACAAUCUAUCACUUUUUAGAGUUGCUCUAAGUCAAACUAUUUUAAAUUUAAUCAAUUUUAUAUAGAAAACAACUUGAUGAUAAUCUAUGAACCAAAUAAUACACUACGAAAUAUAUAUUUAAGGGGCAUUUUGUAAUAGACUAAUAAUACUAAUUUGGUGUUAUAAAUAGUAGUGCUCUUUUGCGUAAGUUUGAUCAGGCUUGAAAUAGUUUGACUUAAGAGAACUCUAUAAAUUGAUUUAUUCUUUAUGGAGGGAGUACUUCUUUUCAACUAUAAAUAAGAGGAGAAAACCAGGCAAUGCUGCAGCUCAUCACUGGCCAAGCCAACAAGUGCAGAGUGUGCCCUAACCUGCGUGUUGACUUUCUAGCGGGACUUAAAACCAUCUUCUUCGUUGGCAGAAAGCCUUUCAUUCAGCAACACACAUUUACACAGUCACAGGUUUGCAGGGAUAAUAUACACAAGAAUGCUAGGUAGUUGGCCUUAAUCAAUUUUUUUUCAUAAUAAUAACUUGUAGGAAUAGUUGACAACUCAGGGGGCAAACAGGCUUUGCCUUUCACUUUCGUUUUUAACUUUUUUCCAGAUUUUCUAUAUAUGUUUGAUGUUGUUUAAUUUUCAGUGUUCUUCAAACGAAUAAACCAACAGUAAGAUACUUCUAUAGGGCAAAUGACAUUCAAUACAGCAGGAUUGCAAUGUGGGCAGCUAGCACAUCCAGAGGAAACAGGCGACAUAACUACUACUAAGCCCAAGAACACGUCAUGACAGAAAAAAAACCCAAUUAUGCUCUUAACUUCAUGCGGCCCACUUUCAAUGUUUUGUCUUAAUUAUGAAAAAAUAACACGCCAUGACACGUCUUUUCCUUCAGAGGACGAGUUAUAUACGCCAUGACACAUCAUGGAGAGCAGCAAAAGGUAGCAUAAGAAGGUAAACUCUUUCUCUCUUCAUGAUAAUAUGAAUGAAAAGAUCAUUACAGCUGAUGUGUUUUGACCACACGUCGAUCAAACUAUGCAUCAUACAUACAUUAAAAAAGAAGAAGAAAGAACUCCGCGACAGAAAAUUGUAUUGCUUAUUACAGUUCACAAAGAGCAAUCCGGUAUGUGUGUAUAGGGGCAAAUUAGUAGUACUGCUCCACGCAGUCAGAUGUAUCGAUCGGGAGCAUAUAUGUUGUAGCCGUACAUGAUUAACAGCUAGCCUGGUUGGCCGCUCAUGGAUCCCAUGUCUCGAACUUGCCGGAGACGAAGUCGUAGUGGCCGCCGACCAGCUUGAGUGUCCCCUUCUCCAGCCCUUCCUUGACGAACGGGUAGGUCUUGAGGUUCUCGAGGGACACGUUCACGGCCUCCUGCAAGGUAAAGUGUUCAGAGGUCCAACAACAGCCACGCACUCCAUGAGCAAAUCGUUUUCCCGUUGGAGCUCGUCUCCAAGAUGAUGAUCCAGACAGAGGUCUUUUAAUUUCAGAGCAUACCUUUUCCAAGGCGGAGCAUUGGUCUUCGAAGGGGGCCGAGGCGUGGUCGGCCUGCACCUUCGUCUUCGCGGGGCCGCCGAUCCUGACCCAUUCCUCGACGAAGUGGCUGGACAGGGGAUCAAACAGUAAGUAGUGAUGCAAGAUACAGCAAACCAGUUUCAAGUUCUCAACACCGUCGUCAGUUGUCUGAGUCUUCCACACGGAUGCUUACAACUUGUCGGGCUCGCCGUCCUUGAGCGAGAGGAGCGCCUUGAUCCCGCCGCAGCGGCUGUGGCCGAUGACCACGAUGACCUCCACCUUGAGGGCGCAGACGGCGUACUCGAUAGCGGACCCGACGCCGGCGUACCGGGUCUGCAAGCAGAACGUGCGUGAGCGGUCGAGCCGACGACGAUGCCUGCCAGCGGCGGCGACAUGCUGCGAGAACUACCAGGCGCGCGUACCUUGUCGUAGGGUGGGACCAUGCUGGCGAUGUUGCGGACGGAGAAGGCCUCGCCGGGCUGCAGGCCCAGGGUCACCGACGGGCACACGCGGGAGUCGGAGCAGGCGAACACCAGGUACUGCACACAACCAUGAAUGGCAGCGAACAGUCAGCAGCCGGGUUACCGAUCCUCUGACCCUGACGGCCAUUGCUCUCCCUAGCUGGCUAGUAGCUCCUACUUCCUAUCAAGGGUUAAGCCCAAGACGGGGGAUAGGAACAGUAACAUGAGGCUCCUUUCAGAAAUAAAAAGUAACAUGAGGCCGGCCUACUUUAUUUGCGAGUGACGACAAGGUGGACCGUGGCUAGAAAAAUGUAUGGAAUCUUUAGUUCGAGGCUUCGGGCAACUAGCAGGAUUCGACAUUUCCGACUACAUAUACUUUAGAGUCCCCAUCAAACUCUGUUUUUUGAAGAGUCCCAUCGAACUCUGUUUCUUUGAAGAGUCCCAUCAAACUAUGUUGUUAUUUUACAUAAAGAUUGGGAUUAGUUUAGGCCAAAAUUUUCAUACUUUGACCCUUAAUCUUCCUUAAAAAAACUAUAUAAAUCAACUAUGUAAAACUGAUGUUACUAAGUCCACCAUGAAAAAUAUUUCAAUAAAUGUAACUCUUCAAAUAAUAUAUCUCCAUGGAUAUAGCUUGCCAAAGUAAGGUAAUGAAAGAUCGUGUGUCAAAACCAGGCGAGCCACAGAUAUGCAGAUUUCUAAUAAAGAGUUACGUGUGGACCAUAUCAUAUUUAAUUUCUUUCUAAUAUCUUUUUUUUCUGGAUGAUGGUCUAUCUUCUAAUAUCUAUAGAUGAUGUAUAUCUGCCGUUCUUAGCUUCUUGUAGCUGCUGAUAGCCAUUUCUGAACAUCUUUUUUAUUCUGGCGCACGUAUUACUCAUUUGGUCAACUUCUACCGCUUCUUUUUUUUCCCUCAUUUGGUCAACUUUGACCUCGAUCAAAUGCUGCGUGCACACAUUCGCAGGCGGCGUUGGACGCGGAUAGGGGGGGCCGCUAGAUCAACGGCAGGGUUGGUGGCAAAUGGGGACCCGUGAUUCCCGAUGUGCUAUCUAGUACGGGAAAACGGUUGUGUUGCCGGCCGGAUCCCCUCAGGAUAUUCCGAAUUUACUAUGAACGCAGAAACUGGCCGCUACGAGCUUCGAAAAUUUUGGUGGUGAACAAGAAUGCAAGAUAUAUUUCUUUACUCCAUUCUACAGUGCAUACCUUGGGGGACUGGUGGGCCUUGAGCGGCUCGAACGUCUCCGGCUUCUUGCUGCCGAUCGACAGGGAGACGGGUCGUCAAAGAGUCAAUUCACUUCACAUCGAGCAGGAGGCUUGGGAGAAUAGAGAGUAGCUUGGAUCACUUACUCGUAGACAUCGGCCUUGAACUGCUCGAACCCGGUCUUCAAGCGCUCGACGGCGUCCGCCAUGGCCUCCUGCAAGAGCCACAGAUCAUGUCGUCAACACAGCUGUGCCGUCCGUCCACAACAAGAUCACCAGAUGCGUCAUGCAGAUUUCUCGGGGUGGGGGGGGGGGGGGGAGUCAUGCGAAUUGCGAGCGACGAGUCUAGAAAGGGAAAGAAGAUGGGUUGAAGCAUGGAGGAUGGAGGAGGAGGGGGCUGACCUUUGGGCUGCAGAGGAGAGCAGGUGGUGAACUGUGGAAGGAUUGACGAAGACUGUGGAAGGCUUUGCUUCGCUGUAGAGCUGCCCCGUCCAUGCCUCCCCGGGGGACCUUUUUUAUAGGAGGGGGGAGGCACGGGAAGCAGCGGCUCGCCUUCUUUUCCUGCCCCCCCGGUCGUGCAGCUGGACGGAUGGACGCGGGGAACGGCGAACCGGUCCAGCACGAGACGUGUCAUCGUGCGGGACGGGGUACACCACUAACCCACCGAGCUUCCAAAGGUCCAUCCUGCAGGCCGCCUUCGCCUUGACCUCCGGCUGGCCGCGGCCGGGCAGGCGUGGCGCCGGGCUUGGGGUGCCGUCCUUCCCCGGGGAAACGAGGAGGACGAUGGAGAGGCUGGAGCCGGAUGGGCUGAACGCCGCGGUGGACACGGCUCACGACGCGUGGCGCCCUGCCGGUUUAGCGGAGCCGGAGAAAACGAGGGGGCGCGGUGUGAAGACCCAAGAGGUAAAUACUUAAUUUUAUUUAUUAACUAAUCCACUAAUUAGUAAUUUUGAAGAACAUAAGUAUUAAAAAUCCAUGAGAGAAAUUGGAUCUCGUAACUGAUCAUCAAAUUACCUCACCCCCUUCUCAUUUCUCAAAUAUUCUAGCACAUAUAUAUAGAUAUAUAUUUAUCUUUAUCCAUUAUAGAAUUUAGUUAGAAAUUAAUCUAUGCACUCUUCAUCGUCGUUGAUAGUUUUCUUUUUGCAUGGCAUCUGCAUCUGGGUUUGACAUUUUUCUAACUAAAUUCUUAGUUUGGGCUAUGUGUUUAACAUGGAAAUUGGUGCUAUCAUAGCUUCCUGCAUAUACAGGGGUGGAUCCGACCCACUUGGUGCUGUUACUUGAUAGCAAUGGAUUUUUAAAAUCCAAGGCUAAAGUUAUCUUGAUAUUAGAGAAAAUCAUAUCGUAAAUUUGACACUAGUGACAUCAAUGGUUCUCUAUUCUAGAUUACCGCCUAUGUAGAUAUGUAUACAUGGUCUAAACCGUAAGUUAGUAUCUUUAUAACAGAAAUAAAUAAUUUAGAAUUUUUUAUUGGUGUGCACUGGGAUACUUUUUUAUAAUGAUAGAUGCAGUUAAUCAAGAAGCCAAUUUAGGGAUUAUUUUCAAUUGUUUUUAGUAAUAGCACAUAUGGAUAAUUUAUAUAUAUAGAUUUAGGAUGUUACUUUAUUAGAUGAUUUUUAUACUAAAAUGGCAGCGACGGGCUACUUUUUAUGCAUGUCCAUGAAGCAUACAACCAAGAAAAUGUUGUAAUGAAACUGAGAUCUUAGUAAACCUUGUGCUUUUCACGAGCAUACAACCUUGCAAUUUCUCAUAUUAAUACUAAGGUACAUAUCUGUCUGGUGUAUACGAGAGGGGGGAAAAAAAGAAUGUGCAACCAAAGCAGAGACAAAAAGAACAUGAGCAACCAUUUAGAGAUCUACUGGAAGGAACAGAGAGCAAGCAACCAAACUUUACUUCUGGUUUAAAGCGUGUGAUCAAUGUGGAUUAUUACUGUUGAUUUUUCUAGCUUAUUAGCAUGCACUGUAGCACGCAAAAGCACAUAGGCAUAAAGACCCCCCCCCCCCUCUGUUGAGUGCAAGAUUUUCAGAAAGUUUAGGGGUCAACUUUCUUAAUCUUUUUUUGUGAAGACAGCUUUGUAGUACAAAAUCAUUCAUGUCUCACAUAAAAAUGGUAGCACCAGCAUUUCAGGGAGAGAGAGAGAGAGAGAAGGGGCAUCAAGAUGUAGUAGAAAGGUAAAGUAUGCAUGAUAGUAUUAUGAAAAAGGCUUAUACAGCUGAUGUCUCUUGACCACAAAAGCGGUCUAAUUACGCACCAUAUAUAUUACAUAUAAGCUCCACCUUAGAAAUUAAAGCAGUAGAAGCUGCUAUUGCUUAUUACAUUCACAGAUAGGACGAUCCGGUUUGUAGCUGUCGAAAUAGGAGGUAAGUCCUCCACGCGUUGACAUCGACCGGGUGCAUAUACGUCGGUAUGUAUGUAUCUGAUGUAGUAGGAGUUUGCGGCCUAUUUCUCCCAUGUGUCGAAGAUUCCGUUCACGAAGUCGUAGCGGGCACCGACCAGCUUGAGGGUCCCGUUGGCCACGCCUUCCUUGACCCAGGGGUAGGUCAAGAGGUUCAAAAGGGACACGUUCACGGCCUCCUGCAGAAACAUUCAGAAAUGCAGGAUCCUCUCAUGAGCAAACCAAUUCGAUCUUUAUGAAAUCACGCGCGUAUGGGCAGCGGGUAACCAAAGAUCGCCAUGGCAACCAGGUCGUAGCCCGUGCGUACCUUCUCCAAGAUGGAGCACUGGUCAUCAAACGGAACCGUGGGGUGCUGGCUCAGCACCUUCUUCUUGGCCAGGAAGCCGAUCCUGACCCAGUCCUCGACGAAGUGGCUGGGCGCGUCGCCAAACAAACAAAGAACAUCCUCGAGUCAGAGACAUGAUGCUGCAGGGGUAGCAGGCUCCUCCCAUCUAAAACUUUGUUCCACCGUGACUUACAAGGUGUCGGGUGCGCCGUCCUGGAGGGAGAGGAGCGCCUUGAUGCCACCACAGCGGCUGUGGCCAAUCACGGUGAGGACCUCCACCUUGAGGGCGCAGACGGCGUACUCGAUGGCGGACCCAAUACCGGUGUACUUGUUCUGCAGUUCACGAAGCAAAAGCAACCGAGUCAGCGGUCAACACCCCACCAGCAAAGAAAGAUCACCGGCCAUGCGCCAGGCCAGCCGGUACGCGUACCUUGUCAUAGGGCGGGACCAUCGCGGCGAUGUUGCGGACGGUGAAGGCCUCGCCGGGCUGCAGGCCCAGGGUCACCGACGGGCAGCAGCGGGAGUCGGAGCAGGCGAACACCAUGUACUGCAGCACAUAGCAUGAGCGAAAAAAGGGGGAAAUCAGAAUCAUCAACAAAAAUGGGGAAAAAUCUGUGUCAGGUCAGCGAUAAGAGCACGCGAGCAUUUCGCGCCCCCACCACACGGCUCUUAUCGAUAAGCAGGUAGGCAGAUCGGCGCUGAUCGGUGGAGUGCAGGAUUCGGGUGGCCCUUGUGGAUGUGCGUGCAAGCGAGUACCCCCGCCGCUCGAAAAAGGCUGCCACUUUUGACCCGCCUCUGCCCGUCUCUGUUCCGAUCCACUUUCUACCACCGGAGCCGCCGCUCCGUUGGCGAGGAAGCCAAGCUGCAGGAAGGUUCCCCGCUGGGAGCGGCAAGGAUACUCUGCGCGGGCUUUGCUGUGGCCCCAUGGGUGGCGACCAACGGGCAACAAACACUAGCGUUGCCAUUACCGGCAGGCAAGGACGUAAUAUUUCUGGACGCAAAGGCGAGACCCGUAUGCACGAACCCAGAAGGAUUCUGAGGGAAAAGCCGAGAGCCAAACUGCCAAAUCCGGCAUCCGCACUGCCGAUUAAGCUUGGUGACAAGAGCAGCAGGAGGAGGCUAGCUAAUGGGCUACUAUAGUGCGCGAGGAUCAUGGAUCACUUUGUUCCCAUUACGACAGCAAUCGGCAUGGACGGCCGGCCGGACACCAGGGUAUGUAGGAAAGGGAACCUUGUUCCGGCUUGCAUAAGCUCACGCUGGAGGCCAGGACUUGGAAAAGGGGCUCGAGGCUAAAAGGCGAUUACGACGCGUAGCGUGAUGCAAUCACCUUCAGCGACGGCAUACACUACGUUGAUAGUAUGAGCAUAUCUCCAGGAUCAGCAUGCAUGGCCAGGGAGAUAAGGAUGCGAGUAGACAAUGUUCUGAACGCUAAAGCAACAGGCCCCGUCCAACACUUAUGUGGCUAACUUUUGCACGGGCCUGGCUGGGAGGAGAGGACAGAGGACACGUCCAAACCAACUACCACCCCUAGCUAGCUACGCUGAUUGUGCCGGUGAAGGAAGAAUUCCGUGAGGGACCAUUGUUCAACAGGACCGGUUGAUGCAUGGUAGGGCCUUGUGCCCAGUCAUGGCUGGACCACACGUCCAGCCGUGGAAUGAUGGCAUGCUGGUUGGUGAUACACGCCUCGCUACCCCUUUUGGUGUAUAUGGUAUGUAUGUGCAGCGUUCAAAUGUAAUGAUGAUGGACCGGACCAUGGAGAGAUGCAGGAAAUUCUUUGGGAUUCAACACGGCUUAGGUGGUGGUAACUCUUUGUUUUCCACGGACCGAUUAAGCAGCCAAGCUAGACCACCCUUUUCUUUUCAAGGAAAAUCAGCAGACUACUUGCUUGUGCCUGGAACCAGCCAACUACAGCACGCUGCAUGGAGUGAAUCGGCGCAUGGGAUCGAUGCCAGCCUGGAACCCCCCAGAAAGAAAACAAUAAAACUCUGUACUUGCGAGAUUCUGCCACCAGGUAAAUACCUAGGAACGGGAAGGAAGUAGGAUUAUAUAUCUCUAUACACACACACACACACACACACACACACAAUAUCCACCACCCCAGCUAGCCAGAAAAGUGAGCGUAUAUAGGGACGGCGACAUCUCAACAGUUCACACGCAGGCCAAAACGCCCCAACCGCCAACAUGGCUCGCACAUGGGAAUGCACUCGCGCCGCGCAUGUUCGUGGCCGGGGGGAGCUCGUAUCCACUAGCGAUUUCUCUGCACAGUUUCGGCUUCAGAUUUCCCCAGCUGACUGAUCACGGGCCAACUGGCCGCUAAUGGCGACAAGCUGUCCCCAUCAGUCUUAAGCCACGCAAUCAAGGACAAGCUGCGUGCUCCCCUUUGUCUACCACGACCUCUUUGACCUCGGCCCCGGCGCAAAUGCCUGCACCCAGGGAUGCCAAAUGAAACAGUAACGGAAUGGCAGGGGCAGCACAGCAGCAGGUGCCAACGGGAAUGCAGGGAUCCUGGUGAUGAACACGACGAGCUAGCUGGUACCAGCAGCGACACUGUUCUGGCUUGGCUUCUACUACCUGGACGGAUGGGGAACCGCCGGCAAGUACCACCAAAUCUGUGGACCAGCAACGUCAGGCGUUGCCCGGACCCCCACGGAAACCCCGAGCUCCUGAACGCGGUUUGCCUAAAUUAAGCUUCCCAGCAUUUGUGCCGAGGAGCCGGGCGGGCGGACGGCCGGAGUGGAUGCAGACAAAAAUCUUAGCAGUCUAGUACAAGGGUGAUGGGACGGGAUUGGAUAGGAGGAGAACAUACCUUGGGGGCCUGGCCGGCCUUGAGCGGCUCGAACAGCUCCGGCUUCUUGCUGCAGAGAGGGAAUUCACACGGGCACAGGGUUAGUUGGAGCUCCCGAGAAAAAAAAAAUCCCCAAAGAAAUCAAGCGCCAUGGAAGCUGGAAUCGAGCGCCGGCGGGUGCUGCAUCGAGUGGAGCGGACGACUUACUCAUAGACCUCGGUCUUGAACUUCUCGAACCCGCUCUUCAAGCGCUCGACGGGGUCCAUGCCCUGCAACAGCGAGAAAGACCAACCACAAACCGUCAGCUCGCCGUCCCCAGAAAGGACCAAAUUGUGUGCUCUUGAUGCAGCAUGAGAGACAGAGUGGGCAGGGGACAAGAGCUUGCCGCAAGAAAGCAUGCACAAAGGUGAUCUGAAGGGGAUGCAGGGAUCUGCUUUGCUACUGAGCGAUGGGGGCAGGGGACGAAAGGAAGACGGACGGACGGACGGACGGGUGGACGGAGAUUACUGUGGGAGGAAGAAGGAAGGAGGGAGGGAGGGAGGGAGGGAGGGGGGGAACGGACCUUGGAGGGAGGAUGUGGAGAGUGGGUGGGCUUCUUGUUCUGGAGGACCGCGGAGGAGACGGCCUCCUUCUUUUUAUAGCAGGGGAGGCAAAGGCACCCGCUCAUCUUCGAACGCGCGGCUUGGAUGCUACUAGAGUAGGAGUACUUCGCUUCUCUCUCGUCUGACUUUUGAGCUUCUCGUUCGGCGGUUUACUAGCAACAUGACACGUGGAAUAAUGGCGUGAGAGAGAGAAGGAGAAAAUCAAUACACGUAGUAGUAAUGGGUGAGUGCGGUUUCUGUGGACGGGAUAACACCCCAGUAGUUGCUAAAAUUUUCGUCAUCCAUUUUUCAGGCACCCGUGAGAUGUAGUAUUGGCCGAGAACGUGUGCGGUUAGCUCUGCUAUUUUGAGUUCAGCCGGUUAAACCCGGUGCUCUUUUUAUUUGAAUGGUAAACCAGGUGCUCUUGAAGGAGAAGAAAAAAAGAAGUCCAUUGGUACACGGAAAAGUUCAGACAGCCCGAAGCGUAGCUCAGAAGAUGAGGCCAGAAGUAAACGGGUCGGCGUAAGCUGCUGAGGCGAAGGCUGGAAGGACCAACUUACCGUGACCAUGACACUAUUACUGACGAUGCGCGAGGCACCGCCGGGUACGGACAGCGAGAGCACAAGUGGCCGGCCCGGCCAUCUGCCGCCGGCCAGGUUGCUUGCGCCUUUCCUUUUUGCUGCUCCCUGCCUCCCGAGUCCCCACCCCCCCGAUCGAGAAACGUUUCCCCAGGGGGUUAUUCCCAGAUCCAAGGAAUCUCGAUGCCCACUCGUCCAGAUCUGGUCUGCCCACAGGGCUGCUGUUCUCUACUUCCCCAAUCCCCAUGGGUUCUAAACUUCUACCAGAGGUCGUCCUUCUAGCUCGUGGCAAUGGGAACCCACCGCCGGACGACGGGGGCGGCCACCAAUGGCACGGCCGGCCUCGCGAUCCAACCUUCCUUAUCGGCGCGCCUAAACUACUCCCUUCGCAACCGCCGGGGCCACAGACCCGGCCAGCGCCUCACCUCCUAAAUUAUUGGAGGCUCCUGCGGUCGAGCUCAGCUCAUCGAGAGCUUGUCCCCCUGAUGCCCCCUCCUAACCAUCCAACCCAAGCGACCUCUCCUCUUAUUGGGGGCUCCUUUUACUGUUUGUACUUCCCGCAAAUCUAGUGCGUAUCUAAUGGCAGCUACAGGUUUCUGCACCGCACCACCGGCCAGAGCCAGAGAGUCAUGGUGCGUGCGAUCGAUGUCAACGCUGUCCGCAUCGCAUCGCAUCGCAUCAGCGUGGUGACGUGGUAGCAACGAAAAUCUAGCUAGACUCCUCGUACUGCUAGCCAGCGCUGACAAGUCUGGCUACCAGUUCACCACAGAGCGAGAACCACAACUUUUUUCCCCUGGUUCCAUAUGUACUUAUUAAAGUUGUUUUUUUUUGGAAGUUGCAAGUAGCUAGUAAUCUCGUGCUAGUUCGUUCGUUGCUCUGGCCAAAAAAAAAAAAAACUCAACGGUGAGCAAAAGCAAAAGGCGGGAAUUCAUCGGCGUUAAAGGGAAAAGGCUGACGUUGAUGGGGGCUUAACCGACUGAUGGUCGGUUAUUGGAUUACUGGAUGCGUUAUGGACCAAACGGAACUGAAAAGCCAGGAGACGGAUGCGGGGCUAGCUAGCUCUUGACACCUUCUAAUCUGUGCGGUAGCUAUCAUGCAAGGAGAGUCCAUGGCGACCCUACUCCACCUUAUCGCUUGUUUUAUAAUUAGGUGGAAAAAGGCCGAGCCACGCUCGACGUCGCUAAGCAAGUGUACUUGGAACUUUUGGGGAAUUCUAAUCUAUCCUAUCGAUCGAAAGCAUCUGCUAGUUGCUGCCUUUAAACUGGCACUAUCAUUGGCCACCUCUUUGGAAGCCCCUCCCUCCACGAAUAUUCUAUGGCAGGUGGUUGACAUGCAUGUUGCUAGUACUAAUAACAGAUGGAAGAAUGGUUAUUAAAUUACUAGUAGUAUAUACUAUGCAAUGAUUGGUCAUGGUCCAAAAGAAGUGGAGAAGAAGAUGAGGCUAUGGUCUGCCGCAUUUGCGGACUCGGCCUUGGCAUUAGCUCUUGGAGCAGAUUAAGGAACAGUGCGGCGCCUCCAUGUUCUCAGGGGACGCGUAGUUUUUUUUUAAAAAAAAAAUCUAAUGCAUUUGUGGCAAGGUGGUGCAUCAUUAGUUGACCCGACCGUGUUGCGUUGUACCCUUGCGUGGCACUUGGAUUUUGUUUCUUUUUCAGAAACCCCUGGUCAGUACCAGCAGCUACCUCCUAGAUUAUGGGAAGGAAGUUUUUUCUUUUUCUUUUUUUUUUGCUUUUGCGGUGGUGCAUUCCGUUCGUCUUGCCGGAGCCGGAAAUAGCAAGGGCAAGCACAUGUGCCAACUUGUUAGUUACCGAAAAGAGAUGCAUGGAAGCAGUGUGGGUAUCGACAUGCAUGCAUGCAGAGGUAAUAGUACACAAUGUGCUCGGUGCGGUGUGCCAUGCAUGCGUGCGUGCGCACGUACCACGAUGGCGGAGGGGGCGGCGAAGACGGGCGCGCUCAUGAUGAGCCUGGGGCGGGCGGAGGCGGGGAUGCCGGACUUGGACGGCGCGGGGGUGCCGAGGCCGGCGACGAUGCUCGAUGCGGCGGUGGAGGCGCGCACGGCCAAGGUAAGCAUAUGUGGGGGUGCUCCCUUGGUUGGUGCCGCCUCCCUGCGCGCGCCCCCAAGAAAUAGCUGCGCCGCGACCGCGUGCCGACAACAAACCGCCGGACGCGAGCGGCGCCGGCGUGCGGCCCGGCUGGGCCGGUGGAUCCGGGCCACUCGGCGCCUCAUCCGCCAGCAGCGCGCCACCCGGCCUCCCCACCACCCCCUGCCGGGGAUGGAGGGAUAGGACUCGGGUCGGGAUAACGCGCCGCGGCACCGUGUGGCGGACGGGCGCGCGCCCCCGGAUGGCUUGGCACGCCCGCGCCCUGGGCCACACGAGCGCGGCCGGGGGGACGGACGCGAAAACGAAGGGCCCUUCGUUCCGAUGCGCGGCGUCGAGAAACGCCAGCUGCUGCGCGGUCGUGGUGGAUGGGGAUGUGAUUGGAUGCUGCUGCGAGCGGCGAUGGGGGGCGUUGGGCCGGUGUGGGCUGCUGCUGGCGGGGCGCCACGCGUGUGACGGGGGUUCUCUUGGCGCCGGUGACAUAUCCAUCGGAAUUAUGGUGUGGCUGCCCUUCAUUAAUCACCGGGCCGAAAUGGAUGGUUCGGUGGUUAUUAGGUGAUGUCAGGUCAGGGGACUGAGCGCGUGAUCUUGGUUGGAGUGGCAGGCAGCACGUGAUGGGGGUUGAGACACGUCGGCGAAACGUUAGUUGUCUGGUGGAGAACUCAUAAGUUUUUCUUUUAAAAGAAAAGAAGAAGAAGAAGAACAACAACAACAUGUGCACAUCAUUGCUCACCGAGCGAUACUAGCUCUUGGCUUCAGAGACUUGUGUUGAGCUCAGGGCCUGCUGGAGGAUAAUAGUGGCAUAGCUUUCGGCCCAUCGAGCUGGUUGUGCGCGGCAUGAAGCCUGCCACGGCCCAUCCUUGUUCAGUUUGUUUUCCGGCAGCCUGGCCCGAGCUGGAUUUGGGCCCAGGCUCCCAUGCGCCCUGCUGUUCCUGUACAGCAGCAAGAAGGAAAGCAUAUGCCUCCUGGUUAGAUAACUUCGCAGAAUUGCAUGCCUCCUGGUUAGAGAGAGAUCAGCAGCAGUAGGAAAAUGACUGACUUCGGGUUGUCUAAGAGUCACUAAGAAUGUUCAGGAAAUGAUCGGAUGUUCUUAUACUGUGAUUGUGUGCUCGGUAGGCGUGCUUGGACUCUUGGACCUGGCCGUCAUGUUUGGCUUGGUUCUCCUCCGGUAUUCUUGGAUGUAAGCGUUUUCCAACCUUCCGCUCGAGAAAACAGUGGCAAAUUACCUGCCUUUAGAGUUGAGAAGUCUCUUCCUCUGAACAACAUCUGUGGGAGUUUCAAGUCCAGUUCAACUUUGUGGAAAUUUGAACCGGUGAUCUUCGCGUCUGCAUCCAUAGUCCGCAUUCAAUGAUCAGGGCUGCAGCAAGACGGGGUGCAGACGCAUAUGCUGCUGCGCGCUGCGAAAUUUUUUACAGGAAUGCAUACAACAGUGCCACUCUCUUGCUACAGCUACGACUACUGGAGAGAGAGAGAGAGAGAGAGAGAGAGAGAGAGAGAGAGAGAGAGAGAGAGAGAGAGAGAGAGAAGUGAACAGCAUACUAGAAUGAAUCGAAGAGUUGUAAAUUUACCUUUCUCCAUGGCCGCCGUAUCCUCUAUUCCCCCGUCAAAUUCUUGGACUCCGGCCGAGCCAAGCUUCGCGGAUGCGUGGCUAGCUGCUCCAUGCACACGCGGUCGAUCCGAUUACGGUGGCCGCGUGCAGCUAGCCACGAGCCAUGCCGAUGCCGAGUUGAGCACGGAUCGAGCUGAAGCUCCAUCCUGCACCGAGAGCUAGCGCACGGGCCAUUACUUAUGCUGCCUCUGCUGGCGCACGGAGGCGAACCGGCGGCGUGCAAGUACGUGGAAGGGUUGACACUACUAGCUUGGGCCGGCCUGUUCGCAAGCUAAAAGGAUGUGCUCACUUUGGCGACACAAUAGACACCCGGUAGCUUGGUGUGCAGGUCCAGACAGCGCAGGACGAGGACAACAAGACCCGGGAAAAGGGAAACGCUACAAAAUUGGUGUUGUCAUGCGCCUGUAGCUAGCGGUCGAGCAGCAUCAGCUUUGAGUUGGCGCCCAGAUAUCGAAUUAUGAUCUGCUCGUUUCGAAUUCCACUUGUCCAUUUCUUCAUGUACACACGCGCUGUAAAGAUGCCUCGCGGUAUCGUGUUGAUUGAACAGCGUGUCUGCUCGCUAGCAUAAUAGUGUAGGGCUCAAUACUAGUCAUUGGGCCCGUGAUAGACCACCUUGCAGACGUUUCCUUUUGUUCGGGAAAGGAUUCCCGCCUGCUCACUCCACCUUCGCGAAGGGGUUUCUUGUGUCCAUACUCCGGUGAAAAGAUUCCAAGCGCACCGGCGGUCUGACGAUGGAUUGGGACAGGCUUAGCGAGUACAGAAAAAUCGAAUUGUGAAAUUAGUGAAGGGUCCUUAAACGCUUCGGAAGAUAAAUGUCUUCGCUCAUCUCUCAUCUCAUAAAACUCUCGUUCCUCUCCCCUCGUAAUCACCCUGCUAUGUCAAUAAAUUUGGUGAUGUGGCAUAAGAUUUAUUGCCCACAAAACUUCACUGGUCUAGCUGGGACCAAGGUAAGCUGUGGUAGGUCUGAGCGGAAGCGAAGGCUGGCCAGAGCUUCCAUAAAAACUGGGCGAUUUUGGCAAAAAAAAUCAUGGUUUAAUUAACCAGAUUAUAUGCCAUGUUCGGUUGGGUACUAGUCUUUUAUUUCAAACAGACGGAAGAGGAAUCUGGUUCUGUUUAUCCGGCUUGUCCAAAUAACAUAACUAUGCUGGUGAUUUCCCUUUCUUGAAUCUUUUUAUUCUCCUCCCCUUUCCAUUUUUAGAAAGUAUUAAGUAAAAAUUUAUUCACACGGAUUUAGUGGAUAAAUUAUCAUGAUAACUUUUGGAUGAAUAGUUUAGCAGUGUUUCUCAAAAAGAAACUUAUCUGGGAUAACUUUUCAUGUAGAUUUCUUCAAAGCAAAGCUCCGUGGAAAGCUUGCUCAUGCACGUUUGUCAAAAAAAAAUCUUCAGACAAGUUUGCCGAAAAAAAAGCUUCCCUGGAUAAGUUUUGCCGAAAGAAAAGCUUCCCUGGAUAAGUUCUUUAAAAACCUUCUCAAAUUACAAUUUCUAACAACAAAGCUUUCUAGAGGUUUUUGAAAAGUUUUGAGGUGAAGGUCUUCUAAACACUUCAUCUAGAAAAUUUACAGUUGAAGGAAAGGGUGGACAGAAGCAAGAAUAGGCAUAAACUGCGAAAAGGACACUGUCACGCUGAUGUGCAUCAGUCUACAGAAUUUCCACUAAUGUUUCACUUUUGUUUCUCGUGAGUAUAGCCAACGCAGUGAAGGCCUAUAGAAGCCCAAUAUAGUUAAGUUCAACCCCAAGGCGGCCCAAACCAGAUUGAUAAUUGUAGCUUCGGUUUAUAUAAACAGGGCCUGCUCGCGUGCUUCCAGUUUGAAAUGUUCAUGUGACCUAACGUCAACUGCGCAAACAACCGAAACAACGAACGUAAGCAAGAAAUUAAGAAUCCACCGCUGUCACUUCCUGUCCGGCAGUCCUCCACCAACAACCAGCGCUCAGAUUUCAGACUUCAGAGUAGCCUGGGGCGUACGUCUGCUGCGUUAGGUUACGCAGCUCGGGACAAGCAACAAGUUGAAGCAUGUCGUGGAGUGCUCCAUCGCCAAGGAACACAGGAAUGCAGUAGGAGGUAGGCGAAAGCGCACAUGCUCUUUCCCCAGCAGGACAUGGAUAGCAUAGCUAGCUCAAUCGAUUAGAAAGGUCAAGAUGUGGAGAGUCGGAUGCACGAAUUAACUCGCAAAAAUCAAUUGCUGACUUGUGUAUUUUACCCUCAAAGUGGUCCCGUCAGCUAACCACACCAAACACUGAACUUCUGUUAGGUGAGUCCGAAUGGCACCGAGUACGUACGCACGGCACGCACAUGCUGCUCGAGUGAGUUACUGCACCAGAAGGGAACUGGCACGACGACGAGGGAGGGAGGGAUCAUCUCUGAGCUCCGACGCGGCGACGCGGUUGCUGCGUGGUCGGUCCCGGUGUAGAAGCGGGAGACGACGACGUGUUCCGGUAUUCCCCGUCCGCGGCGCUGUCUGUGCGAACGCGUGGAGCACAGGUCCCCGCCGUUGAACGGAUCCGUUUCCGCGAGAUCAACCUGACGCGCGCGAGAGAGGCACUGAACCACUGGAGCUUCUGUCAUCCCCGAUCUCUAGCGAUCCGCCCGUUCACUCUCUGUUGACAAGUUCCGGUAAAUCUGGUGCAGCUAGCGCGCGCCCUUUCCGUCAUUCUGGAGUUCCUACCGGCUAAAGGGGCACGACGAAACCUAACCUGUAUCCGACAGUACCAAACACAAACCCGGGGACCGGCUCUGCAGAGUACUCUGUUAGCAAGUGGGGCUGCGCCGGCAACGCAUUGACGCCCUUGCAGACGGUCGCCCGCCCCCCUCUGCUCCGGGCAAGCUGCGGUCCGCGCGCGGGGGGUCAAGGGAAGAGGGAUGACGACGCUCGCGAUCGGUGAGCCGCGGAUCGUGGGGCGUGUUCUAGAAUCGAUCGAGCGUGGCCGGAUCGCUCUCUCCGGUCUCGCUGGCGCUGCUGCGCUCGGCUCGUCGUUGCGAGAUUGCAGUCGCGUCUGGGGUGUCUGUCGGGAGCACGGAACGAUGCCGGAUCCAGAGUUCCACAGCUCCUGCUACUGAGCUGAAUGCCUGUGCUGCUCUGCUGCGGAUUCGUUGUGACAGCUACCCAGCGUGUGAGUGAUUGGUUCCAUCGACAUGGAGAUGGCUCUGUUUCUCCGUAUUCAUGAUUGGAGGUAUAGUUUCUUUUUUUUUUAUUUUCACGUUGCAUAUAUGUCCCUUUUGAGGUAAUAAAUUUUUGGAAAACGUACUAGUGGUACUGGUACCUAUCGGGCUGGUUAAUGCGAGACGAAAGGUUGUUUUUGCGUCGAGACUCCAGAUUCGGGGAGGAGUGCAAAGAUCUCUCGGAACAUCGGCACCCUCCCUCCCUCCCUCUCUCUCUUGAGGUGCCUGUGGAGAGGCUGUAACAUCUGGGGCUGCCGUGGCAGCAGCGGCGGAAUACGGUUGACCAAGCCUGCAGAAGCCGGCACCCGCAGCCUCUCCGUGCUCCCGUGCGUACGGCAGAACAAAAUUGUACAACGAAAAGGCUGCAAUUUCGCCGCCACCGGUCGACACAUGUAUGGAGUGCGGUGCGUGACUGCGUGCUGCGUAACAAGCUGAGCUUACCUGGAAACCAGCAGCACAAGCACAUCCGCGGUUUGAUUGUUUCAAGGAUGCUGUACGCCGCUCCGCUGCAUGCCUGCAUCUUCUGAUAUUCACGCACGCAGCAUGGCUCGAGGUGACGGAAAUGAUCUCCAAGACAAUUCUCUGUUCAAGCGUGUGAAAGUUUCAGUACAAGGAAUCAGCGCCUCAAGUUCAUACUGCUGCCUGAAAAUUGGUGAAGCUUCAGACAUUUUCGCUUACAGUUGGAUCACUCCUUUUCUUUUGUUUUUUUUUCUUUUUUGAAAAGGGCAUCUGGAUCACGCAUUGGGAUUUGUAGCUCAAUGAUGCGUCUCACCAGUGGGCAGUGGCUAGAAAAUUAGAUGCCACCGAAAGACACAGAAAAUAUAAAAAAUAAUGGUAGAUUGCAAACAAGGAAAGGUGAUUUCCCCGUGAAAUAUACCCACCUACUUCUCUACUACUAUACAUCAUACAUCGUAUGUACAAAGUCACCUAUACAAACAACCGCAUGUAUCCUUUUUUUCUUUCAAUUUCUCCGUAGCAGUAGUACUGGCCUACCACCUUCACAAACCUCAAUCCGAAAGGGAAGGCCCGCAUUUCCCCUGCUUUGUCUGACUUCACGCCCCGUUCUUUUGACUUCGCUUUAAACCCCACACCGCCGCACGUAGCACUAUGCCGGUUUGCAGGGGAUCCUCCAGGUCAAAUGGUCUUAAAUUUCAAUUCCCGAAUUCAGACUUGAAAAUCUCCCUGUUUGGAACGGGUCGCCCACGGCGGUGACGGGUCGGCGCGUCGGUGGGGGCUCAGAACGGGUGCGGGCUCCGGCUGAGCCCGUGCGCGUUGGCGAACAGCCCCAUGAGGUCCUGCCGGUACGGCAGGAACGUGCGCCGCCCGCCGGGGGUCGCCUUGGCGCCGCCGUACGACAUCCGGCGCCCCGCGGCGACCGUGUCGAGCUCGGUGGCGCCGGCGGCCUUGCUUCCUUUGGGCGGCGGUGGCUUCGGCUUGGAGCCGGCGGGGGAGUGCUCCCUGUCCCUGGCCGGGGACGACGGCGCGGAGAGGAAGAGGAACUUGUGCUUGCCGUCGCUGUGGCUGCGGCCGACGACGAGGUCCCCGAUGCGGCGCCACCGCGCGACGGAGCCCGUGGACCCGCUCUUCCGCGGCGGACGCGAGGGCGAGGACGCCGGCGACGACCCGGGCGUCCAGAGGCAGUAGCUGUCGGGCGGCGCGCCGUCGAGAUCCGCGCUACCGUCCGCCGUCGACGCCGAGGACGACGACGAGGUGGAGGAUGUGGACGCGACGGAGGAGGUCCGCGCCUGCUCCAGCUGGAACAGGCGGCCCAGCGGCGCCCUCGGCGCGGCCGGUGCGGCGGCGGCCUCGUCGUCCAGGACCCGGCCGAACACCGGGUAGAACGCGCGGAUGCGGCCGCCCGCGAAGAGCUCGUCCGCCGCCGCCGCGGCGCCCCCGCCCGCCGCCGGCUCCCGGCUCACGGAGGGGAACUCGAACUCGCCGUCGGAGUCCUCGUCGUCGGACGCCAAUGACCCGCCGUGCUCCCUGGGAACUGGAAGCUCCGCGGCCGCGGGCUCGUGGCGGCGGCCACCCGGCGGUCUGCGGUCCUCCAUGCCUCUCAUGUUCCUAUUUCCGCUGCUCGAUCUCUUCGCGACUGAUGGCGGGGUGCGCGCAAAGGGUGGGAAGCAACUGCUAGUUGGUUGGGGAGGUGGCACCGGCGUAUAUAUAGGGGGGAAGCCGGCAGCGGGAGGCGACCUUCUGGAAGGGAAGGCGAUUCGGCUCGGCCCCACGCUACACGUCACUCGUGAUGCACGCGGGGUUCGUUUCUUGCUUGGGGGUGGGGGGGGGGGGGGGGGUUGCCGUUGGUUGCGUUCCGUGUGCGUGUGCUAUGGGUUUACACAUGAUUUUGGGAAAUUCUCGAAGGGGCCCUGGGUCCGGGGGAUUUGCUUGCCGAGGGAGAUCGCGCUUGCUUGCGGGACAAGCAGCUGCUGAUCCGGCCGGCUGAAGAUACGCUAGCGCCGCGGAGCCGGCUGGGUCGAAGAAAGCCCGUGCACACGUGGGCGCUCUGUAAGCUGACGACGGAGCUGUGAUCCAGCUGCGAUGUCAGUAGCGUCCAGUGUGAACAGAAGCAGCGGGGAAAUCUCAUCCACGCACAAAUUCUUCUCGGAUUGAACUGCCUACUAGCCCGCAUGGCCGGUUGUACUUGCGCAUGGCGACACGCGCGGUCCCUUCUGCAAUCACGAACGACGGGGGAGCAAGCACAUGGAAAUUGUGAGACCGCGCCUCUGGUGUAUUCGACACGGGAGACGCCAUGUACUUGAAAUUUUUUGCCACGAGACAGCGUUUUGAGUUCGGCCAUGUGCCACCUGUGAGUGAUGCAGCACGAGCCAGACCAAUCGCCGAGACUACCGCUCGCCAUUGGCAGGGACGGCCCGGGAGGAACCGGCAACUAACCCUGCGCAGGUGUCGUCGCCUCGCGCCGCCGCGGCCAACGGUUCCUUACUUUAUUCACGCGUGUAGCGGCGCGGCGGCGGGUGCCAGGCCACGCCCCCGACGAGGUUCCGUGCGCGCAUCGCAUUGCAGGAGGCAUGAGGCGCGAGCGCGCGCGCCGCGGCCGGUGUGCCCGCCGUUCCGGCAGUCCUGGGUGGGUUCCCGCCUUCUUGGAAUCGAGGGUGGUACCCGUGCCGUGCGCCAAGUGCCCCCAACGCCGAACGUUCCCGUGCCGUGCAUGCGCGACGCGUCGGGGGGUCAUCUGAAGCUGGCCCUAGCUCCUUUCCCAGACGCCGUGAAACGUUUGGGCUCUCUCGGGCGGUCCGCCGCUGUCGCACGGUGAACUCCGACGACAAAGACGAGGAUCCCCUUGCCACGUGCUACUGGAUCACCAUCUCAUUAUCUCUGCUCCGUAGUCCGUACUGGCGGCAUGUAUCGUGCACGUGCAGCUCCUGCAACUAGCCAGUAACUCUGAGACUACGAGCGGCGAGUUUAAUUCCCUUUUCCUCUCGUUCUUUGUUUGGGAGGAUAAUCAAGGGCGAGAACCUGAUGAGUUCGCUUGUCCGGACUGUCAGUUCGCGUAAGCAUAACGAUUCCCGGUGACAGGCUUCGUUUUCCUAGUAGCGUUAGCUCCGAGCUCAACGAGUUGCAUUAAUCCGUCCCCGCGUUAGGGGAGGAGCUGUCCUCCUGCGCGUGCUUAAUAAUUGGCCUCUGUCGCCGUUACGAAGCAACCUGAUUUGUUCUCUCUCAUGAGGCUAUUAUUUCACCGACGAACUCUACUACUAAACGAGCGAAUCAUGAUAGUCGCUCAGUCGAUCUCCUGAGAGCUCAGUUCAGAAUUGACGGCGUUAAAUAAGCUUCUGAACGAAGCGAGCGCGUUCGGCGUGCUGGCAUGCUUCGGGCAUUUUGUUUCUGUUUUUUUUUUCUUAGAGCAAAUCGCCCCGUACUGUCCGGCUGCAUCGGUCGAAGUCAGAGAGGCUAGUAUAGCUGCCUUUGAGCACAAAACAAAUUCACAAUUUAAAAAGGUACUUGACAAAUCUGAGAGGAACUAGACGAAAAUGAUCAGAUGCCAAAUUUCAUGUCGUAGCAUUAUUCACCCGCUGUCUAUCUGGUUAUUAAUAGAGAGAGUAUUCGGCGUGAAGCCAUUUCGUGGCAGCAGACACGCCGCGCGCACGACACAUGUGCCAACAAAGCACUGUACGUAUCUCAUAUCAGUCGAUCCGUCAUUGACCACGCACAUACGUGCGUUACUUGGUCAGUGGUCACUUUGAUCGUGCGUCUACCGGAGGAGGAACUUGGCGGGUAAUUUCGAACCUCAUCUGCGGAUGCGAUCUGUGAUUAAUGGCGCCCGACUCUGUGGCGGAGGAGCAAGCUGGCACGGGUGGACCUUCGGGUGCCCAACUCGCAACGGAACCAGCCGCAGCCCAACAGAAACAAUUGUCCGGGCUAUCUGCGAGGAUAAACGGGGGUCACCUUUGGAUGACGAGUGAUUGACAACCGUGGCGUAUAAUGCAUGUCUUGGCUUCUGAAGUGGACGGAUCUGAGUUCCGGUUUCGAAGCCGGAAGUUACAGAUUUAGUUCCGGUUUUACUCUGACAAGUGUUGAUUUUUCAUUCCGACCUGUCGCGCUUACCUCUAUUUUGUCUCUAAAAUUUUCUAGUAUUGUUUCUAGAUCCAAUAGCAUCCCAAAUAGCUUAAAUAGCUAUGUGGGCUGGACAAUUUUAGAAAAGAGAUUUGUUAGAUGAAUUUAGGAUACAGAUCUUGUUCUAAUCGGAGAUUUUUUAUAGGCUCUCAUUCACCUCCUCUAGUCGUCCGUUGCGGUACGCGGUACUACAAUUUGCCUUGCUCUUGGAGUUCUCGAUCUUGUUAUCACGUCAGGUUCGCUGCUACUAUUCCGUACUAUUCCUGACCCUCGUCUUGCGCGCCCGUAGCGUAGGGGUACGUCACGCCGGACAAGAGGAAGCUGCGGCAACCAGCAUGCGCGCUCCAGCCACCACCGAGUAGGCACGCCUUCGCCGAUCCGUCGACGUGGUGGGUCGAAUGCUGAUGCUUCAUCUCCGGCGGCCCCGUCUGAUCUCGUCGUCGUCGGUUCCCUAGCUCGUUCCAACAUUUCCACUUUUUUCCAGCAGUCACCUAUCAAAGCUCGACGGCUUUUUUAGGCCCUUCCUCCGCUCCGCCCGUCAUGAACGCCGAGAAUAUUUGACCCUGGUUCUGGUUAGCAGACAUGGAAUGUUCUGUUCCAGGUCCAGUCCCACUACAAUUCAGUGCAUCUGCUGCUGCAGGCUGACCACUCUCUCAGAGGAAACAAUCCAAUGGUAGAAGCGGUGCUCAUUCCUCUGGUGGAAAAGAACACAUCCGUGAUAACGACAGGCACGGAUGAAAGCAGCGGGGGGAAAGGGAAGGCAUUGGCCGUAGUGCCGUGGUCGCGGUUUCUAGAACACGACUUUGUUAUCGCCUGGACUCUGCCUGCAUUCCGUGAAAGUGCUACUAGCCAUGCCCGUAUGAGUACAUGACCGAUUGGACAGUACGUUUGUUGCACAUGGACAGGCAUGGUCGUAACUCGUAGCCAUCGCGCAGUCGGAAAGGAAAAAAAAAUGGGACCGGAAUGGCUGAACACCUGAAGCCGAAUCGUCUGAAGCUGGCGGAUGAAACCUGCCAAUCUGAAGCUGGCGGACGAGACCUGAAGCUUUUUUCUGUUCUGCUGUGUUUCAGUUUUAAAACUCGCAGACUCGUUUGUUGGUUUCGAUUCCUUUGUACUGUCACUGCUUUCAGGGGGAUCAAGAGGGGGGCAGCUGUAGGCUUUUUCCCUGCUCGCAUCCUGUCUGUAAUGGGCUACACUGUGCUAAAACGUUCUUGCCUUGUUAAUGCAAUGGCGCGGGAGGGCGGGACGAGCUUCGCCUAUCUGUUCUAAAAAAGAAAAGAAAAAAAAGAACUUCCGGAUUGCCGCCAGUCUUGCACCGGAUGGCUGUGCGUGCAAGUGGCAUAUACC